AUGAACGCUGGCGGCGUGCCUAAUACAUGCAAGUCGAACGAAUCUCUUCGGAGAUGAGUGGCGAACGGGUGAGUAAUACAUAGGUAACCUGCCCCUGUGCGGGGGAUAACAGGAGGAAACUCCUGCUAAUACCGCAUAGCCAUGAGCACCGCAUGGAGCUCAUGCCAAAUAUCCUUUCGGGGAUAGCGCAGGGAUGGACCUAUGGCGCAUUAGCUUGUUGGCGGGGCAACGGCCCACCAAGGCAACGAUGCGUAGCCGGCCUGAGAGGGCGGACGGCCACAUUGGGACUGAGACACGGCCCAGACUCCUACGGGAGGCAGCAGUAGGGAAUUUUCGGCAAUGGGGGAAACCCUGACCGAGCAACGCCGCGUGAGCGAAGAAGGCCUUCGGGUCGUAAAGCUCUGUUGUAAAGGAAGAACGGCGCAUACAGGAAAUGGUAUGCGAGUGACGGUACUUUACCAGAAAGCCACGGCUAACUACGUGCCAGCAGCCGCGGUAAUACGUAGGUGGCGAGCGUUAUCCGGAAUCAUUGGGCGUAAAGAGGGAGCAGGCGGCCGCAAGGGUCUGUGGUGAAAGACCGAAGCUAAACUUCGGUAAGCCAUGGAAACCGGGCGGCUAGAGUGCGGAAGAGGAUCGUGGAAUUCCAUGUGUAGCGGUGAAAUGCGUAGAUAUAUGGAGGAACACCAGUGGCGAAGGCGACGGUCUGGGCCGCAACUGACGCUCAUUCCCGAAAGCGUGGGGAGCAAAUAGGAUUAGAUACCCUAGUAGUCCACGCCGUAAACGAUGGUCACUAAGUGUCGGGGGUCAAACCCCGGUGCUGCAGUCAACGCAAUAAGUGACCCGCCUGAGUAGUACGUUCGCAAGAAUGAAACUCAAAGGAAUUGACGG
rnacentral:rRNA from 1 species